rnacentral:rRNA from 1 species
AGAGUUUGAUCCUGGCUCAGAAUGAACGCUGGCGGCGUGCCUAACACAUGCAAGUCGGAUGUGCCGCAAGGUGCAUGGCAGACGGGUGAGUAACGCGUAGGGAAUCUACCUUUUUGUGGGGAAUAACGCUCCGAAAGGAGUGGUAAUACCGCAUGAGACCGUGGCCUGGGAUGGUUACGGUGAAACCUGGGGACCGCAAGGCCUGGGGCAAAGAGAGGAUCCUGCGUCUGAUUAGCUAGUUGGCGGGGUAAUGGCCCACCAAGGCGACGAUCAGUAGCCGGCCUGAGAGGGUGAUCGGCCACACUGGAACUGAGACACGGUCCAGACUCCUACGGGAGGCAGCAGUGGGGAAUUUUGCGCAAUGGACGAAAGUCUGACGCAGCAACGCCGCGUGGGUGAUGAAGGUCUUCGGACUGUAAAACCCUGUCGUCAGGGACGAAGGUUGAGGGGUUAAUAACCCUUCAGCUUGACGGUACCUGGAGAGGAAGCCCCGGCUAACUCUGUGCCAGCAGCCGCGGUAAUACAGAGGGGGCAAGCGUUAUUCGGAAUUAUUGGGCGUAAAGGGCGCGUAGGCGGUUUUUUAAGUCAGAUGUGUAAUCCCCGAGCUCAACUUGGGAACUGCAUCUGAUACUGCAAAUCUUGAGUUCAGAAGAGAGUAGCGGAAUUCCAGGUGUAGUGGUGAAAUACGUAGAUAUCUGGAAGAACACCAGUGGCGAAGGCGGCUACUUGGUCUGCAACUGACGCUGAGGCGCGAAAGCGUGGGGAUCAAACAGGAUUAGAUACCCUGGUAGUCC